GACGAACGCUGGCGGCGUGCUUAACACAUGCAAGUCGAACGGAAAGGCCCUGCUUUUGUGGGGUGCUCGAGUGGCGAACGGGUGAGUAACACGUGAGUAACCUGCCCUUGACUUUGGGAUAACUUCAGGAAACUGGGGCUAAUACCGGAUAGGAGCUCCUGCUGCAUGGUGGGGGUUGGAAAGUUUCGGCGGUUGGGGAUGGACUCGCGGCUUAUCAGCUUGUUGGUGGGGUAGUGGCUUACCAAGGCUUUGACGGGUAGCCGGCCUGAGAGGGUGACCGGCCACAUUGGGACUGAGAGACGGCGCAGACUCCUACGGGAGGCAGCAGUGGGGAAUAUUGCACAAUGGGCGGAAGCCUGAUGCAGCAACGCCGCGUGCGGGAUGACGGCCUUCGGGUUGUAAACCGCUUUCGCCUGUGACGAAGCGUGAGUGACGGUAAUGGGUAAAGAAGCACCGGCUAACUACGUG
rnacentral:rRNA from 1 species